rnacentral:rRNA from 1 species
UACGGAGGGGGCUAGCGUUGUUCGGAAUUACUGGGCGUAAAGCGCACGUAGGCGGCUUUGUAAGUUAGAGGUGAAAUCCCGGGGCUCAACCUCGGAACUGCCUUUGAUACAGCAAGUCUUGAGUUCGAGAGAGGUGGGUGGAAUUCCUAGUGUAGAGGUGAAAUUCGUAGAUAUUAGGAAGAACACCGGUGGCGAAGGCGGCCCACUGGCUCGACACUGACGCUGAGGUGCGAAAGCGUGGGGAGCAAACAGG